AGUAUUGUUGUACUUCUCUUAUCUCACUCUUGGAGAAUUGAUUUUAUGGAAACUUUGCACUGCACAUAACUGAAAGGAGAAGCAACGUGCAGUUAAUUUCUCUUGGCAGCAAUAUUUAUUUCCAAACCAAACAGCAACGUGUAACUAUUCUCAAGAACAAUAAGGCGGGUUUUGCUCUCCGCUUCGAUCUUGUUGUCCUGUUUUAUCGUGUUGUUGAAAUUGGGCUUUCUUCGAAGGGAAGUAAAGUGGAAGAAGAUUAUUUCUUGGUAUAUAUGAUUUUGAAGGAAAUGAGAAUUGAAUUUGGACUAGCGUAAAGGGCGAAAAAGGUCAGCAGACAGACGGGUUUAAUCCCUAGGAGCUUCACCAGCUGUUCCUUGAGAGUGCUCCAGUUGAUCCGGAGCUUCAGCCUAUUGGUACUACUUUUGUGUAUAUAAUCGGGCACGGCAGAACCCGGCCCUUCCUAUGUAUAUAUGCACUUUGUUUAGAGGCUCGUAGACAGAUAUGUACAGUCAGAUGUUUUGUACUUUUGUUGUCCUCGUCGUUGUAUAACGUGCUAGCAAAGUUUAUAA